CCCUUAGAUGUUCUGGGCCGCACGCGUGCUACACUGAGUGGAUCAGCGGGUCAGGUUGCGCGAAAGUGUUUCCUAAUCUUGAAAUCCGCUCGUGAUGGGGAUUGACGGUUGCAAUUUUCCGUCAUGAACGAGGAAUACCUUGUAAGCGCGGGUCAUCAUCCCGCGCUGAAUACGUCCCUGCCCUUUGUACACACCGCCCGUCGCUCCUACCGAUUGAGUGGUCCGGUGAGGCUUUGGGAUCUGAGCGGAAAGAGCGUUUCGCUGUUUCUGCUCGGAAAACUCAGUCGAACCUUAUCAUUUAGAGGAAGGUGAAGUCGUAACA
rnacentral:rRNA from 1 species